GAAAUCAUUACUGGUGUUUCUUAGGAAAGAAAGGAAAACAUGUUUGUUCUCACUGAAAUUACUCGCAAAAACAUAUACUUGCCUUCAACUGCUGCAAAAGGAUGUGUCCUCCCGUUCAUGCAUCUCGGGGGAAAAAGCGCUGAGCCUGUUUGCCGUUUCUUGAUUUCGGCUUUCGUGUUCUAAUUUGGGAUCAGUCACGAGACGCACAGCAGCACUCUCAGCUUCACUAUUCGGAGUGGGAGAGUGAGCGAUUGUGUGUCAGAUUCUGUCUAAUGAAGUGCGUGAUCUCCUCGUGUACAAACAGGGUGUGACUUGGCUGGAAUGUCCUCCUUGCUGUCUCAGCCACCAUGUUCUAGAGGGCACCCAAGGACGCUUAUUAAGGUGAGGCAGACGUGAGAGAUGUGAGAAAGAGUGAGAUGACCUAACCCUAGGACGAGGCUGGAGAGAGAGGAGACCUACAGGAGGAGCAGAGGUGAAAACUGCGGGGGCUGUGGACCAGCUCUGUGCUGUCGUUGCGACACAAUGAUACUAAAAGUAACUCCUGCUGUUUGCUUUCAUCAUGAAUACUCUGAGGAAAUGGAAGUAAGCAUCUUCAGACUGGCGAUUACUGUAAUUAUGCUGAGAAACAGAGGGCUGGCUGAGAUUAGAACUGGGAAUCAACUUGUCAAGUUUCCUGAAAAUCCCUACUGUGAUCUUGUGCACAACUGAGUCAAACAUUUGGAGAAAUUUGAUCAUAACAACCAUGCCAUCUUUCAAUUAUUUAGACUUUUUUGACUCUUUUUCAAUAAAGUUUUAUAAAUAUCCA
rnacentral:lncRNA from 1 species